AUGAGAUUGCAGUUAAAGGAUUAUAUAUCGACUAAUAAAUUUUCAAUCAAAUCGUAUGACCAUGAUUGGCUAGGAUCGUAUGGCUUUAUUGAACGUCAGCCGCCACGAAGAUAUUUCGACUAUUAUCCAAACGUGGAUGCACAUUUUCUGCAUGAACGGUUUACAAAUUUGUUCGAUGAUAACGAUUGGUUACCGUGCUUCCGUCCUUGACAUUAUUUCAAUUCGAUGACGUUCGCGAGAACAAACUCCUGUUUACAGGGGAGAACAUCGACGAUGCACGAUGCAACUGCAUUCGUCCUCGUCCAUUUAUGCAUAGAUUGUACGUACUUCGUAAUAAACAUUGCACUGACAUUUACGCAUCAAUAAA